AGCAAAGAAGUAAAAGUUUACAUUUAGUUUCGACCUAAAAAUAGAGAUAUUUCUCCAUGCUU
rnacentral:tRNA from 1 species